CCUCUCUCGUCCAUUUUACUGGCUGGAUGACAAAAUCACCCCUGACAGGCCGGAGCUUUUCAUGCAGCUCUGUGAGUGUUUGUGUGCCACACUGUACCAAAGAGCAGGGACACACAGGAGCCCAUUCGCUGCAUCAGGCCACCCGCUGUUGGUUCAGACUGCCGAGGGGCUUCGCGGGCUGGAGGUCCGUCUGCCGUCGAUGAGGGCGAGCGGUGCUGGGUCCCGGCUGGAUGCUCGUCAACGCCACAAGGACCUGAAAACUUCCAACUGAAGCUCCUUGACCCGUCUGACGGGCUCAGACAGCAGGAAUGAUCAUCAGACUGGGAAGACUGACUCCGGGAUACUUCCGUCUCCUCCGGAGGCAGAUGUCAGGUGAGGUCCAGAUUCAGC